CUUUUAAGGCUUGAUUUGAUUUUUUUUUUUUUUUUUUUAAAUCUUGCGAGCUCACGGGUCGGCUCGGGCAAAGCCUGUGUCUCCAAAAUGGGGCUCGGCCGGAGCUUACCCGAGCCCCGAGCUGAGCCGGCUCGGACUUUUUUCGAGCCGAGCCACGAACAGUCCGAACCGACGAGCCCAAUUGCCAUUCCUAGGUAAAUGCUAUGUAGCAGUGGUGGUACAACAAUCCGUUAUUUUGGGUUCUUUUCCGCUCGGUUUGUAAAUUAAAACCAUUCUACUAGGCGUCCCAGAACUCUGUUCAAAACUCUACCUGUCUUUAAUCACACCAGGUGUUUGUCUGAUUGCUUCAAUGGCAUUUUCAUCUUGCCUGAAGUGCCAUUCAUGGACCCACCCUCGAAAUCUAGAGCGCCCUUUCCCUCCCACUUCAAAACUCCUAAAAGUAACUUCAUUCCCAUUUUCUCAGCACCGCGAAAAUCAAUUCUGUUCACUCUCAGCUUCGACUUCCUCACUUCCGUCAACCAUUUGGCUUUCUCCGGACUUCACUACUAAGCAACUGUUAGAAACCCUUCGUCGCGAAAACAAUGAAAAUUCAGCUUUUCAACUGUUUGAAUGGGCAUCAAAGCAGCCGAAUUUCACACCCACUUUGCCUGUAUAUGAAGAAGUUCUUCGGAAGCUUGGAAUUGCAGGGUCUUUUGAUAGGAUAGGGCGAAUCUUGGACGAUAUGAAGCGUUCAGGAGUCGAAAUUGUGGAAGGUACUUUUUUCAUUUUGAUUGAUAGUUAUGCGAAAUUUGGGUUUUAUGAUGAAGCUGUAGGCGUUCUUGAUAUGAUGGAGAAUGAGUUUGGGGUGAAACCGGGAACUCACAGUUAUAAUUCGCUGUUGAAUGUUCUUGUUAAUGGAAACAAGUUGAUACUAGUUGAAACCGUGCAUUCUAGGAUGUUGAAUAAAGAUGUGAAACCCGAUGUUUCAACGUUUAAUAUAUUAAUAAAGGCCCUAUGUAAAGCACAUCAAAUUAGGCCUGCAAUUUUGAUGAUGGAGGAGAUGCAUGACUAUGGUUUAGUGCCCGAUGAGAAGACUUACACAACGAUAAUGCAGGGUUAUAUUGAGGAAGGAGAUUUGGAAGGAGCACUGAGGGUUAGAGAACAAAUGGUGGCAGCUCAAUGCCCUUGGAGUAAUGUGACGAUAAAUGUUUUGAUUAAUGGGUUUUGCAAAGAAUGUAGGAUCGAGAAGGCCUUGAUUUUUGUUCAAGAAAUGGCUAACGAGGGGUUUUGUCCAGACAAAUUCACGUGUAAUACUUUAAUAAAUGGUUUAUGCAAAGUGGGGCAUGUGAAGCAUGCUCUAGAGAUCUUGGAUUUGAUGCUUCAGGAGGGGUUUGAUCCAGAUGUGUUCGCCUACAACACGGUGAUCUCUGGGCUUUGUAAGAUUGGUGAAGUUAAAGAGGCAAUGGAAGUUCUCAAUCAGAUGUUUUUGAAGGAUUGUUCCCCAAACACCGUCACAUACAACACCAUAAUCAGUACCUUGUGCAAAGAGAACCAAGUGCAAGAAGCUACUGAACUUGCACAUAUUCUGACAAGUAAAGGAAUCCUGCCUGAUGUAUCUACAUUUAAUUCUCUUAUACAAGGUCUCUGCUCAACCAGCAACUUCAGUAUUGGAAUUGAAUUAUUCAGAGAGAUGAAAACCAAAGGGUGCCAACCGGAUGAGUUCACAUACAAUAUAUUAAUUGACUGCCUGUGCAGCAAAGGAAAGCUAGAUCAAGCUCUGCAAUUACUAAAAGACAUGGAAUCAAGUGGUUGUGCUAGAAAUGUAAUAACUUAUAACACUCUGAUUGAUGGGUUCUGCAAAAUAAAAAAACUCGAAGAAGCGGAGGAGAUUUUUGAUCAGAUGGAAUUGCAAGGGGUUUCACGAAAUUUGGUCACUUAUAAUACUCUUAUUGAUGGUCUCUGUAAGAGCAACAGGGUGGAGGAAGCAGCUCAGCUCAUGGAUCAGAUGAUAAUUGAAGGAUUAAAACCAGAUAAAUUUACCUAUAAUUCCCUCCUUUCGCACUUUUGCAGGGCAGGAGAUAUUAAAAAAGCGGCAGACAUUGUUCAAGCCAUGACUUCAAAUGGGUGUGAACCAGAUGUUGUCACCUAUGGGACCCUGAUACAGGGUCUGUGUAAAGCCGGUAGAACUGAGGUUGCCAGUAGGCUCCUCAGAAGCAUCCAGAUGAAGGGAAUGGUUUUGACCCCACAGGCUUAUAAUCCUGUAAUUCAAGCUCUUUUUAAGCGGAAAAGAGGAAAAGAAGCCAUGAGACUCUUCAGGGAAAUGGAGGAAAAGAGUGAUCCUCCUGAUGCUGUCUCAUACAAAAUUGUUUUUCGAGGGCUUUGUUCUACCGGAGGUUCUAUUAAAGAAGCUAUUGAUUUUUCCUUUGAGAUGAUAGAGAAAGGCUAUAUCCCAGAAUUUUCUUCAUUCUCUCUGUUGGCUGAAGGGCUUCGUGCUUUGAACAUGGAGGAAGUUCUAAUUAAACUUGUAGACCAGAUAAUGGCAAAAGCAAAGUUCUCAGAGAGUGAGGUGGCCAUGGUAAGGGGUUUCCUCAAAAUCCGUAAAUUUCAAGAUGCACUGGCCACUUUUGGCAGUGUAUUGAAUAGCCGAAAGCCCAGAAAAGGUUACUGGUGAAGAUGGAGAACUUAAUGCUAUGAUUAGGCAACAAGGGACAAGCUUCUAAGCAUAAUGUCAUGCAAGUUAUUGAACUUUGAGAACAUUCUCGGGCGAUUGGCUUGGCUUGCUGGAAGGGAGACAGAGAAAGGAAAAUCUGUUCACAAAUACGAUAUGGGAUUGUCAUAUCCCAUCCAAAUUUGGGGUAAUAGAUGUAUAUGGACUUUAAUUUUUUAUGGUUCAGGAAUUCUCUAGGGAGACUUAUAUGAUGCACUCGACUAUUUCCUUUUAGAAUCUCUUUUAUUAUUUGACCAGCUUUAUAAGGAUGGUUAUUAUUGGUUUCAAUGUUGCUUUUCUUCAAUGCUCUACAAAAAAGUGGUUUCAGUUUAUUUUCCUGAGCUAACAUACAGAGAAAUAUCCAUCAUUUUCUAGAAGGUACCUCUCCUUUUCCGUUCAUUGAAACUUUUAUAUUUUCCAUUAAUGAAAUUGAAUUACCUUUAUGUGCAAACAGGCUCACCUAUUUGUGUUGAUUAUCUUCUCAGGAUACAAGUCGUAUAAUAAUCAUCAGAUUAGAAAGGAAAACACUAAGAUUUUGCUGCGUUCUUGCUGCGUUCUUUUUCUGCAUGCCUGGGUUUUUUACAGAUGUUUAAAUUUACCUAGUAUGCAGCUGGUUGACAUGUUGCUGUUUUUACUAUUCCAUAUAGGUUGAACAUUGUACAUUGAUGGCUUCUAUGCUUACUGUUUAAUAAUAUUUCGUAUGAAAAAAAAAAGGCUUUAGUUCAUUAAUCUUAAA
rnacentral:lncRNA from 1 species